rnacentral:misc_RNA from 1 species
GAUGAAGAACGUAGCGAAAUGCGAUACUUGGUGUGAAUUGCAGAAUCCCGUGAACCAUCGAGUCUUUGAGCGCAAGUUGCGCCCGAAGCCAUUAGGCCGAGGGCACGCCUGCCUGGGCGUCACACGUCGUUGCCCCCCCAUCUACUCCUUCGGGAUUGCGGGGGGCGGAUGAUGGCCUCCCGUGCGCCUCGCCGCGCGGUUGGCAUAAAUGCCAAGUCCUCGGCGACGCACGCCACGACAAUCGGUGGUUGCGAAACCUCGGUUGCCCGUCGUGUGCGGUCGUCGCGCAUCGAGGGCUCGAAAAAAUUGCCGGGUUCCGGCUCGGCUUUCAACGCGACCCCAGGUCAGGCGGGGUUACCCGCUGAAUUUAAGCAUAUCAAUAAGCGGAGGA